GAUCAGGUGUUACCAGUGUGAUGAGUUGGGGUAUCUAGUCAGAGAUUGCUCUCAACUUAGAGAUUAGACGAGGGCUACUGCACCGACGGCCAGUAGCGAUUUAGAGGGUGAUGUCCUGGAGAUAUCUGAUAAGGUAUCUACUUCUUUCCAGCAGUGGAUUUUAGAUUCUGCAUGCACCUAUCAUGUAUGUUGCAGAGAGGAGCAGUUUGACUCCCUGG
rnacentral:lncRNA from 1 species